rnacentral:rRNA from 1 species
AGCAGUAGCCGCGGUAAUACGUAGGUGGCGAGCGUUGUCCGGAAUCAUUGGGCGUAAAGGGAGCGCAGGCGGGCAUGUAAGUCUUUCUUAAAAGUUCGGGGCUCAACCCCGUGAUGGGAAAGAAACUACAUGUCUUGAGUACAGGAGAGGAAAGCGGAAUUCCCAGUGUAGCGGUGAAAUGCGUAGAUAUUGGGAGGAACACCAGUGGCGAAGGCGGCUUUCUGGACUGCAACUGACGCUGAGGCUCGAAAGCCAGGGGAGCGAACGGUAUUAGAGACCCCCGUAGUCCCUGUCUCUUAUACC